AGCGAACGCUGGCGGCAGGCCUAACACAUGCAAGUCGAACGAACUCUUCGGAGUUAGUGGCGGACGGGUGAGUAACACGUGGGAACGUGCCUUUUGGUUCGGAAUAACUCAGGGAAACUUGUGCUAAUACCGAAUGUGCCCUUCGGGGGAAAGAUUUAUCGCCAUUAGAGCGGCCCGCGUCUGAUUAGCUAGUUGGUGAGGUAACGGCUCACCAAGGCGACGAUCAGUAGCUGGUCUGAGAGGACGACCAGCCACACUGGGACUGAGACACGGCCCAGACUCCUACGGGAGGCAGCAGUGGGGAAUCUUGCGCAAUGGGCGAAAGCCUGACGCAGCCAUGCCGCGUGAAUGAUGAAGGUCUUAGGAUUGUAAAAUUCUUUCACCGGGGACGAUAAUGACGGUACCCGGAGAAGAAGCCCCGGCUAACUUCGUG
rnacentral:rRNA from 1 species